rnacentral:misc_RNA from 1 species
AAGUCGUAACAAGGUUUCCGUAGGUGAACCUGCGGAAGGAUCAUUAACACGUAUCCAACGUUAAACCCCCCCGUAAACGUACAAUCUGGGGUUCGACUAUCCCAAGGUAUGGCGUGCUUUCGAUGUUGCAAAAAUAAACAUAAUCAGGGGGUUAUGUUUAUCUUUGUAAAGUAGAAAGGUCACAAGAUGCUGUAAGAUAGACCGCUUUAAUCAGCGGGUCACCAGGAGGCCGACACGGCCGGUAAUCGGAUUCUGGGCGUCGUUCCUAUAGGAACGAGUACACGUCCCUCUUGACCCCUUGAAACGACAGGGUGUCUGCAAAACGGAAGGCUCAAUCACUCCACACUUGAAAGGGUCGUGGAGAUAACGAACAACUGUUAACAAUGGAUAUCUUGGUUCUC